CUGUUGCUUAGAAGACUGUCACUUUGACAAGCAACAGGUUUGUUUGUGCAGACCAAGACUACGGACAACAGCAGGAGGGAGAGCACAGUACUACUUUCCAGAAAGAAUGACAAUCCAGCUGUGGACAUUCUUGGGGAUUUUGAUGAGAAGUUCAAUCCUGAUCACAGAUCCUGGACAAGCAGUGGAGGAACCCCAUGUGUGCAAUUUGUUGGCUCCCUUUUUCCUGUAAUCUCAUGGCUCAAGUCUCUUCAAAUAAAUAGCUUGCUUACUCUACACAUACUUCUGGAGUUCUUCCCAGUCAACUUCCCAUCAUUAUAUUAGCGAGGGAGACAGGUCCCUGGAGAGAGAAGAGCCACGGAGACAUGUGCUUCUGUUGCUGCUGGAAGAUGGUCAAUUGCAAAACAGCUUCUAAACACUCAUGUGCAAAAUUGCC
rnacentral:lncRNA from 1 species